rnacentral:sRNA from 1 species
UUUGUGGUUUGGUUUCAGGGAAGUAGCAGGCGCCGGUUGAGAGAACUACGGCCCUGUCGGAAGGUAACCUCCGGUGCAAACGACCAUCGGCGGCAGGCGAGCGGUACGCUUGGCGUCCGGGCCUUCCUGGGCCCGUCUGAGGAAACUUGCUGCUCGAGGCCAGGCUGCCUAGGACCUGUCCCUUUUUUCUGUACUGGCUCCCACAUCCGGGUUUUUUCUCCGGGACGGCCCUUCGGAUGCUUGGGCCAAUGGGAAUCGCCAUUUAGGGUGCUCCGCCCACCGGGUCGCGUAGAGCAUCCUGGAAGUCGUAGUAAAUCUCUCGAGAGUUCCCUCCGCACGCGGGCUGGAGAAGCGGGUCCUACGCACGCUUUGUUGUCGCGCUUUGCCUCCGUCCUUACCCCUACUCCCGCCUUACCUGACUUCCUUUUCGGAGGAAGAUCCUUGAGCAGCCGACGUUGGGACAAAGGAUUUGGAGAAACCCAGGGCUAAAGUCACGUUUUUCCUCCUUUAAGACUUACCUCAACACUUCACUCCAUGGCAGUUCCCGAGACCCGCCCUAACCACACUAUUUAUAUCAACAACCUCAAUGAGAAGAUCAAGAAGGAUGUUUGGCCAGAUCCUGGAUAUCCUGGUAUCACGGAGCCUGAAGAUGAGGGGCCAGGCCUUUGUCAUCUUCAAGGAGGUCAGCAGCGCCACCAACGCCCUGCGCUCCAUGCAGGGUUUCCCUUUCUAUGACAAGCCUAUGCGUAUCCAGUAUGCCAAGACCGACUCAGAUAUCAUUGCCAAGAUGAAAGGCACCUUCGUGGAGCGGGACCGCAAGCGGGAGAAGAGGAAGCCCAAGAGCCAGGAGACCCCGGCCACCAAGAAGGCUGUGCAAGGCGGGGGAGCCGCCCCCGUGGUGGGGGCUGUCCAGGGGCCUGUCCCG